rnacentral:lncRNA from 1 species
UGAAUUUGAAGCCCAUUUUAAAUAAUUAUAGGAGUCCAACAUAAUUGACCCAACAAAACUCAAACAGGCCCAAGAAAAUUAAAGAAAUUCGGCCCACAUAGAAUAAAAGAAAAAUGGCCCAAAGAAAUAGUAUCCGGCCCAACUGAACCAGGCCCAAAACCACUUCUUCCUCAAACUCGGUUUCUCUCUCUCUCAUUUCUCAAUCCAGAAUCCUCCCCCUUCUCUCCAUCGAUCCUCUCCCUCUCUCGCCCGUUCCAGCCGUCAUCGAGGAGUUCCGCCGCCGUGGCUCCGGAAUCCGGCGCUGGCUGCCGUCGAGCCCAGCCCUGCGCCCUCCUUCCUUCCUCUUCUCUCAAUCGAUCUGUUGCUGCUCCCUGUGUAGCUGCCGUCGCGCUGUAUUCUGGCCGUUCCAGCCGUCGCCGGCGAGCGGCCGCCGCCUCCCUCCGCGACGUCGCUGCUGCUGUAACCCGACGAGAGUGGAUCUCUUCUCUCUCGAUUCGAAGCGUCGGUGGAGCCCGAGCCCUAGUUCAUCUCCUUCUGCAAAUCGAGCUCUAGCUCCUCUCUUUCUGCAGAACGUCGUUGCCGCCGCCGUGGUUCUGUAAAUCCGGCGACUUACAGUCGUCGUUCGUCACCGUUCGUCCUCCCAAAUCGGCGACAGUCCUCCUCUUCUCCCUUCUGGAAAUCUCGCCGUUGCCACCGCUGUAGUAGGGAGGUCGACGAACAGCCGGGGUCUCGAUCGCUUGUCGCCACGGCCUCUGCCUUCUCCUUCCUCGACUCGAGUCCGAGGCUUCCUUCGGCGGAGCCGAAGGUCGCCGCUGCUGUUUAAUUCCGACGAGCAGCGGGCUCUGCUGCCUAUGUGUAUCGUCGAUUGAUCUCGCUCGCUCGCCGCCGCUGACUCGAAGCCGAGUCGAGCAGAGCAGUCAGUUGUUUCCUUGGACUCGACUGAACAGGGCGGUCAGCCAUUACUCUUCUAACAAGCUAAGUUAUCUACUUUCAUUCUUCUUCUACUUCAGUUUCUAGUUGUUAAGCGUGGGGGUUCUCAUGAUUCGCUGUUCUAAGGUGUAGAGUAUAACAAUGUAUGAAUCCUCGACUUGUUGAGAAAAGUUAUCGAUCAAGUAUGCAUAUGUGGUUCGCUAUAUCUUUCUGUAAUAUUUCUCAUCCUAUGUUUCGAAUUUCUUUUAUAUGAAGUGAGGGAAGUGAAAUGCAUAUAUGAAGAU